UGUAUCAAUGAGCUUGUGUGUGUCAUUGAGAUGUCAGUGAAAUUGCCUGAGUCUGCAUGUGAGUAUGCUUACUGUAUAAUUAAACGUUUUACCCUGAAAGGACCAAUAUUUUAUAUUAGAAAAAGAUAUAUAUUACUCAAUCAUCUGUCCUGGCAAGACAUAGCCUUAUAUAUUACACGUGACAAUAUACGGCGCAGUGACUUAUGGGGCUGGCACAAAUUUUUUUUCCAGGGCUGCUCUGUAUCCCCAGUCCGGCCCUGACCAUGGUGACCACGGGUAAUGGGGAAUCAGGGUUCGCUUACGAAGAGGGAGCCUGAGAAACGGCUACUACAUCCAAGGAAGGCAGCAGGCGCGCAAUUUACCCACUCCCGACGCGGGGAGGUAGUGAUGAAAAAUAACAAUACAGGACUCUUUCGAGGCCCUGUAAUUGGAAUGAGUACACUUUAAAUCCUCUAACAAGGAUCUAUUGGAGGGCAAGUCUGGUGCCAGCAGCCGCGGUAAUUCCAGCUCCAAU